rnacentral:sRNA from 1 species
UACCUAAAUCUUUCAUUUACUUAGAACACCAUUAAACCAUGUGUUAGGACGAUGGCUACACCGUGAUCAUAUCAUAGAGUGUUUUGUCUAUAGAUACACCAUUAUUUCUUUAACGUGUAAUUGGGCUGCCGACUAUUUUAUGCCAAUUUGAUUAACCUAGUAACACUAAAUUUUCUCUGUAUUAGGCAGUCUAACUAAAAGAAUGAUGAAAAAUUUCUUUUCUCCUCCCAUUACAUUCCAUUUCAAAUUUGGGUGUGUUUUGACAUUAAAUGGCAUGAAAUAAAAUAGUAUAUUGGUAUUUGAUUUCUGAGGGGCUGCAUAAGGAAAUAAACAUGAGUAUCCUAUCUAGAACAUCUGUUUUGGGUCUGAAUGGUGGUAUUUUCCUGCCUGCAGGCUUUUCAAUCCAGGGCAGUUGUCACUGCUUCACCACGUUGAAGGGAGAAUACCAAUUUCCAGGAUCACCAGUUUAUUUUUAUAGAUAAAAUUUAUAUUAUAAGAUACUAUUUGCCACAAUAAAAUCUGACCUUUCCCCAAUUAUUUUAUUUGUUUAGCUUAUCCAACAAAGGUAUUAACAUAUACAUUAACAACGUCGAAAGUAGCCUACUUUAAGAGAAAAUAUGCAGAAGAAGAAGAUUUACAUCAAGAUUACCAUGGGUAUUUUCCAAAACACCUGAUAUUACCUGAGGACAGAACUUGCAUUCUCAAACUUUCUCUGGAGAAGCUCAGGUUUCUUGAAGACCCAGAAACCUACUUAAGAAGGUCUGUGUUAAUUAACAAUUUGCUGAGGAAGAUACAUCUAGAGACGGAGAAAGAGAGCUAUGAAUACUUUAAAGAAGCUCCCUGUUAUAAGACUGCAUAUUCUGAUACAAGAAAACGGCUGAAGUUUAUGGUACAGGAAUGCUGUUCUCAGUCUCUCUAUUAUGAAGAGCUGCAUUCGUAUCAUAUUGUGCCUUAUGCUUCGGAGAAUGCCAUUUAUGAAAUGGGCUACACUAGCAGCCACUUGGAGCAAAAUUCUCAGUUGCUUAUUUAUAAAAUGAAUUAAAGUAACUGUUAAGUCCAUUGAUACUUUGUUUCUAAAUGCUUGAACUGUUUAUAGUGAAGAUGUUAAUAUAAGGCACUCAUUACCAGUGCACUUGAUAUCAAAGAUGAGAUGCAUGCUGAACUGAUUGGAGAGAGCAAUGG